rnacentral:rRNA from 1 species
AGCGAACGCUGGCGGCAGGCCUAACACAUGCAAGUCGAACGAACCUUUCGGGGUUAGUGGCGGACGGGUGAGUAACACGUGGGAACGUGCCUUUAGGUUCGGAAUAACUCAGGGAAACUUGUGCUAAUACCGAAUGUGCCCUUCGGGGGAAAGAUUUAUCGCCUUUAGAGCGGCCCGCGUCUGAUUAGCUAGUUGGUUGAGGUAAUGGCUCACCAAGGCGACGAUCAGUAGCUGGUCUGAGAGGAUGAUCAGCCACAUUGGGACUGAGACACGGCCCAAACUCCUACGGGAGGCAGCAGUGGGGAAUCUAGCGCAAUGGGGGAAAGCCUGACGCAGCCAUGCCGCGUGAAUGAUGAAGGUCUUAGGAUUGUAAAAUUCUUUCACCGGGGACGAUAAUGACGGUACCCGGAGAAGAAGCCCCGGCUAACUUCGUG